rnacentral:tRNA from 2 species
ACUAUUUUGGCAGAUUAGUGCAAUAAAUUUAGAAUUUAUUUAUGUAAUUUUAAUUACAAAUAGUA